rnacentral:rRNA from 1 species
UGGGGAAUAUUGGACAAUGGGGGGAACCCUGAUCCAGCCAUGCCGCGUGUGUGAAGAAGGCCUUAUGGUUGUAAAGCACUUUAAGCGAGGAGGAGGGUACUGGUAUUAAUACUACCAGGUACUGGACGUUACUCGCAGAGUAAGCACCGGCUAACUCUGUGCCAGCAGCCGCGGUAAUACAGAGGGUGCGAGCGUUAAUCGGAUUUACUGGGCGUAAAGCGUGCGUAGGCGGCUAAUUGAGUCGGAUGUGAAAUCCCCGAGCUUAACUUUGGAAUUGCAUUCGAUACUGGUUAGCUAGAGUGUGGGAGAGGAUGGUAGAAUUCCAGGUGUAGCGGUGAAAUGCGUAGAGAUCUGGAGGAAUACCGAUGGCGAAGGCAGCCAUCUGGCCUAACACUGACGCUGAGGUACGAAAGCAUGGGGAGCAAACAGG